UACGGUGAAUACGUUCCCGGACCUUGCACACACCGCCCGUCAAGCCACGGAAGCUGGGUGUACCUAAAGUCGGUAACCGCAAGGAGCCGCCUAGGGUAAAACUAGUAACUGGGGCU
rnacentral:rRNA from 1 species